ensembl:lncRNA
AAAUAACAUUACUGUGUGUAAAAAAAAUAAAAAUGAAUGGAUGAGAGAGAGAGUCACCUACAGGAAGUGGCAACAAGGCAUUAUUGGCAUGUCAUUAUUUAUUGAAAUAUGAGGAGACAGUCCAUCAGCUCUGAAAGAACUCCCCAGAACAGGAAGUGACAUGAAAGGGUGGCAGUAUGACAGCGAUGGGAGGAAGGGGGGUUCAUAGACAAGAAGAGGGUCAGCACGUUCAGGAGUGGUGCGUGUGUUUGAGGACAUCCAAGGCAUCUGCAGAACUUUACCAGAACACAUAGAAUGAGAAGGGACUGAUAGAGAUUGUCAAUCAAUACACACAGUUAAUUAUGGAAGUAGAUUCUCAUGCCAAAACAAAUACAAAAACGAAAAACAUUGAAACAUAAAUGUAUAUUUGAGCGUUGUUUUUCAAUAUCAGUGUUUUUGUUUUUCACCAUAGUGCAUCGUUAAAAAGACUUGAUAGAUUUUGACAUCGAUGACUUAAAUGCAGACGAUCAUAUACAGUAUAUACUUGACAGGUUUGUGUGUAUCACUAAUGAUUGGGGGCCUUAUGAAGUCAGUGUUUGGUAAAAGUGUAUAAGACAACAUCAAUAUAAUUCUACAAACUGACAUUACAAAAUGCCAAACUUCAGGAAGGCUGGGGGGGGAAGCUGUUUGUUCAGUUACGACACAUCACAGGUAACCACGGCUCAAACUUAUGGACAGCUGGGGGAGAAAGCUGUUUGUUCGUUCAAUUGCGACACAUCACAGGUAAGCACAGCUCACGGGACCAAUGCCGUCUUUGGUAUAGAACAAACGGCACUGAAAUGUGAAGCUAGUUGAAAUUCAACACGAAACAACUGAUGCAAGUACAGUGUCAGUCAUACCCAUUAACUUAAAUACAAUAAUUACACUCCCCUAAAUAUUUAUUGAGACAAUGAAGCUACAUUUUAAAAUUUGGCUCAAUACUCCAGCCUUUUAGAUUUUAGAUCAAAUGUUUCAUAUAAGGUCGACAGAACAGUCAGCUUUUUUUGUUGAGAGUAUUUUCAUACAGUCAGGUCCAUAAUUAUUGGCAUCUUUUGAUCAAGAUCAUUUUGACCCCUAUUUUUGUUUAAAGAAUGUUUUUUUAAAUGUUAGACAAAAUAUAUUUCUCUGAGCAAUUGUUUUAGUAUAAAAGAAUGAUGGAGUAAAAAGACACAUUUUACAUUUUCGCUUCACUGUCCAAAUACAUUUGGAGAGGAGUGUAUUUUUUUCUAAUUUAAAGCUCAGACUCCUAUAGACAAUUAAUAAAAACUAAAUUACGGAGAUCAUUAUGAAGAUCAUUGUUUUGUUCCUGAACUGCGUCUAUAAUAAGUGAAAAAUAAAAAAAAACAUGCAACACUAAACAAAUAUGUUUGGAUUUGUCGCCUUGUGCUUAUAACACACAAAAGGACAAAACCAAGAUGCAAUAAGUUAUUUUCAUUUUUAAGUGUAACCAGUGACAUAUACCGAAAGGUAGAACAUUGAAAAAUAAUUUAAAAAAGUUCUACAAAAAACAAGUGUCCGAAACUCUUACACAAUAUGCAAAACCAUUUGAAUGCCAUCAGAAAAAAAAAACAGUUAGAAAUGAGAUUUUAAGUGAGAUUCCUUUCUGAUUUUGUGUGUCUCACAACAUAAUUAAGUACUGGGUAAAGAAACAAAGAACAAAACGGUAUAACACUGUACACACCUAAGAAAGCGGAACCAGAAUCUAUUUUGUGUUUUUUUUGUUUUUUCUGUAAAUCAUUGUUUUGCAAUUUUCUUCCUCACAGUUCUCUUCCACGGGACAGCUUGAGCGUAAACACCUCUUGAAUGAUUGAAUUUUUUAAAAUUUAUAUAACAUUAACACUUUAUAUAUAUUUGUACAUAAUUCCAUUCACAUCUGCACGGUUAGCUAGCAUGGUAAUGAAAUAAGGCAAGACUCACAUGACUGUGACAUCACAAAUUUAUAAUACUGAUAGUUAAGGUUUCGUUACAUUUUUGUUUGAUGUUCUGCAGCAAGCUUUGGUCUGUUCAGACUAAAGGCAGAGUUUCUC